UACUACAACACCUACAGCUCCUACUACAACACCUACAGCUCCUACUACAACACCUACAGCUCCUACUACAACACCUACAGCUCCUAAUACAACACCUACAGCUCCUAAAACAACAACUGCAGCUCUUAAUACAACAACUGCAGCUCCUAAUACAACAACUGCUGUUCUUACUACAACAAUUACAGCUCCUAAUACAACAACUGCAGCUCCUAAUACAACAACUGCUGUUCUUACUACAACAAUUACAGCUCCUAAUACAACAACUGCAGCUCCUACUACAACAACUGCAGCUCCUAAUACAACAACGGCAACUCUUACUACAACAACUACAGCUCCUAAUACAACAACUGCAACUCUUACUACAACAACUACAGCUCCUAAUACAACAACCACUACUGAGCUACCAGACACUACACACAUGAGCACUAUAACUCCACCUGCAGGACAGUACACCAUGCAUAGUAGGUCUGGAUAUAAGUUGGUACUGAGGGUGAAAUUUACCAUGACAACAGACCUUACCGAAUCUGAAAUCUUGAAGCAGCUUCAGUGGGAACUGAUCAGACGAGGGAUGCCAGAGACCUUUACACUGCAUAUGAGAAUCAUUUCAGGACAGAAUACAAAGAGAGUUACAAACUUUAAUGACGAUGGCCUGUUGGGGGAGAUUUAUGAACCCCGUGUCAUAUCACUUAAUCCGGCAUAGCAAAGACACAACAGAUACCUUACAAUAGAUUACCCUCAAGAUUACACUCUUACCCCAUGUCCUGCCGUAACUGGACCUAAUGUAUUAGGCAACUAAAUAUCUAUAGUACCUUCAGAAAGUUCACAUCUCUUGACUUGUCUCACAUUUUAUGUUACAAAGUGUCAUUAAAAAUGUUUGAAUUGUAUUGUUUUGUAAACGAUCUACACAAAAUACUCUGUAAUGUGGAGAGAGAAAAAGUGGAAGUGGAAUUUAUUUUUGAACAUUUGUAAAUUCAAUAUGAUGUAUUAAUCAACAGUCAGUUGCUAUGUUCUCAUAGUGAAAGUCAUCUAACUCAGAAACUUCAAUUACCCAAACACUUGUAACUGAACUCAAGGCCACUGAUAUUUUUUUUGUUGAUAUUAUAUACUAGGCUAAAUAAUUUGGAAAAUGAGAGAGUUAACAGACUAAGGCAGGGUAUAGGCUAACGGAAAAUAACACGGUCAUUGAGGUGAGAAUCACCACAGGUCAACAUCAUACAUGAACUUCUGUACUUGAACUCAACAAACACUACAGUACAAACAUUCACCAGACUUUGAGGAUGAGAUGGUCUUAUCAACUGAGAGGGAAAAUAUAACAGAAUCCACCAAAACUGCACCGAAAUUAUAGGUUCAUCCAAGGCCACAUUUUAUUUUGAAUCAUUAUUUUUUCAAUCAUUUUUAUCCAGUUGGAUAAACACUCCAAACAGCCUACCCGACCGCUCGGAGGAGUCUGCAUGGUCCUAAAGCAAUCGUUUUGAAUAACAUUCCAAUGAUAAAACUGGUGGGGACAAAAAUGCAAUUUCAGAAUGUGGGGGGGCAUGUCCAUCCCGAGUGAAAGUUGCGCCCCUGGUUUCAUCCACUAGGAGUCGCAUUCCCUAGGCUAUUCGUUCACAUCCAAAUGUGGACAAUGCAGCAACAGUAUUAAUCAGGAUAUGUAAUUAAGACUAACAAAAAUACAAUAAUCAGUUACUGACACGGCAUCACGCAAAAGGGAAAUUCAAUGCAAAAAUGUAUUUAUGUAAAUUCGAGUGUCGUCUGGUUUAGUUGAGGGUCCGUUAUGACGCAUUGGUACAAAGGGAAAAGGGUCGGUCAGGGGUCCUGCUGUUGGAGCUUUUGGUCAAAGGCCUUCGUCAGAGCUCAAGCAUAGGGUGUCUUUCUCUCUAAGUUUGUUAGGGUACUCUGUUUUAAUAUAAUGUUGAUGUGGGUCCCCUUUAGGGAGCGAUGAAGACUCAGUGGUUUGUUGUGAGUAAACAGAGAUGUGGGUUCAGCGGAGUUCCUCUUUGGUGAUUGUUCUGUCUGAGUUGAAUAAAGCUUCCUCGAUCUGUG